AAGGAAUUGACGGGACCCGCACAAGUAGCGGAGCAUGUGGUUUAAUUCGAGCAACGCGAAGAACCUUACCUAAGCUUGACACCAAGACCGAGCCAACGCAUGAGGAGGAAGCCCCGGCUAACUACGUGCCAGCAGCCGCGGUAAUACGUAGGGGGCUAGCGUUAUCCGGAUUUACUGGGCGUAAAGGGUGCGUAGGUGGUUUCUUAACUCAGGAGUGAAAGGCUACGGCUCAACCGUAGUAAGCUCUUGAAACUGGGAAACUUGAGUGCAGGAGAGGAAAGUGGAAUUCCUAGUGUAGCGGUGAAAUGCGUAGAUAUUAGGAGGAACACCAGUAGCGAAGGCGGCUUUCUGGACUGUAACUGACACUGAGGCACGAAAGCGUGGGGAGCAAACAGGAUUAGAUACCCUGGUAGUCCACGCCGUAAACGAUGAGUACUAGCUGUCGGAGGUUACCCCAUUCGGUGGCGCAGUAACGCAUUAAGUACUCCGCCUGGGAAGUACGCUCGCAAGAGUGAAACUCA
rnacentral:rRNA from 1 species